CACCUCCUCCUAGUUGAAACAGCUUGGCUACUUUCUUGAUUUUUGAUUUACGUGGUGUUGGUUUAGACUUUAGCCAAGGAAUUUCCACAUCUUGAUAAACAUAGUUCAGGUUUGUAGACUUAAGGCAAUCCUUAACCUUAACACGAACUGGCUGUGCAUUUUCAUCGUAGAACAAAAAGGUAGUGUUUAGCCAAUCUUUGUCUUUUGGAUCAGAUCGUUUCUUCCCUCCUAAUGUUUUCCAUAUAGUCCACAUUCUAUCCACAUUGGAG